rnacentral:rRNA from 1 species
GAUGAACGCUGGCGGCGUGCCUAAUACAUGCAAGUCGAGCGAAUGAAGAGGAGCUUGCUCCUCUGAUUUAGCGGCGGACGGGUGAGUAACACGUGGGUAAUCUGCCUGUAAGACGGGGAUAACUCCGGGAAACCGGGGCUAAUACCGGAUAAUAAGAGAAGAAGCAUUUCUUCUUUUUGAAAGUCGGUUUCGGCUGACACUUACAGAUGAGCCCGCGGCGCAUUAGCUAGUUGGUGAGGUAACGGCUCACCAAGGCGACGAUGCGUAGCCGACCUGAGAGGGUGAUCGGCCACACUGGGACUGAGACACGGCCCAGACUCCUACGGGAGGCAGCAGUAGGGAAUCUUCGGCAAUGGGCGAAAGCCUGACCGAGCAACGCCGCGUGAGCGAUGAAGGCCUUCGGGUCGUAAAGCUCUGUUGUUAGAGAAGAACAAGUACGAGAGUAACUGCUCGUACCUUGACGGUACCCAACCAGAAAGCCACGGCUAACUACGUGCCAGCCGCCGCCGUAAUAC